rnacentral:rRNA from 1 species
UACGUAGGGUGCAAGCGUUGUCCGGAAUUAUUGGGCGUAAAGAGCUCGUAGGCGGUUUGUCGCGUCGGCUGUGAAAACCUGGGGCUCAACCCCGGGCCUGCAGCCGAUACGGGCAAACUAGAAUUCGGUAGGGGAGACUGGAAUUCCUGGUGUAGCGGUGAAAUGACGCAGAUAUCAGGAGGAACACCGGUGGCGAAGGCGGGUCUCUGGGCCGCAACUGACGCUGAGGAGCGAAAGCAUGGGGAGCGAACAGG